CCUCCGCUAAUCCUCCUGCAGCACCCGCUAACCCUAGCCUUGCUUUGCCUACCCACCGAGCCUUGCUUUUCCAUGGUCCUGAAGCGGCCGCGUUCGCAUGCCGCAAAUCCCCUUCUCGUCUAGAUCUGGAUCCAAACUACUUUCGUUUGUCCACGCUGAUCUCGUCUGGAUCUAUAUUGUUCCGAUUGAGGAGACGAGGAACGGUGAAUCUCUUAUCUUCUGUUGGGUAUCUAUUCGAAACGCGUGGGUUUGUUUUGUGAUGUGCCGGUUCCAUCCGAUUAAUUGAUGAGUUGCGCGUGCGCUGACUCGGAUCGAGAUGAGGCUGCGUCCACGUGCUCGGUGGCUACGGAUCCUCGUUUGGGCGCGUCGGUUCUGAUGUUGAGCAGGGACGUUUGGGAGGGAUUGGAUCUUCUUGGCGGAUUCGGAGGCAUCGAAACGUCGCCGCGGCGUGGCCGGAUCCUGGAUCUGCUCCCAACUCGCGUGAUGAUGUCUCUUCGUAUUGAUAAUUAUUGGAUUGAACUUCGAUAAUUAUUAGAUCUAAGAGAUGGUGCUCGGAGCGAUCCGUGCCCAACUGAAGCCGAGGUAAGCUACACGCAUGUAACCACCGAGUUGCGUUCGUGUGGAGUUUGGAGGAGAAAAAAAAAGAUGUGAAAAAAAACAGAGAGAUGUGACAUCUUGAAGGCCUUUGCCAUGAUGGGUGCGCUCGCAUGGCAGGCCAUCGUAAUAAAGAUGUUGAUUUUGUGCCUUGGGUGGGAGAUCGCACGGGGGAGCUUUAUUUUAUCCCCCGGGUUCUCCCUCCCUUUUGUGUCCCUGUGCCCUGCUUCUUAUUGUUGGCUGCACGUCUUUCCGAUACACCUCUUGGCAUGCUACAAAUUGGCAAGGAGCUACAGCGCAACACGCAAGGUACAAUUGUAAUUCGAAAUUUACAAUCUGAAGUUGCAAUAUACAGACUAGAUGAAUUUAUUGACAUCGAUAACUUCAGGCUAAGUAAUGCUUUAAUUUUAACACAUGCAAUGCCUGUCCAUGCUUUCGUUUGUGUUAAAGUUGCACCGCACUAUGGGCCAUGCAUGGGAAGGCGUAUCACGUUUUCAGUUGGCUUGCAAUAUAACGUUUUCAUUUGCAUACAUUAAAGCUAGCUCAUUCCUAAGAAUCUCAAAGUGAGUGGUGGCAGACUUUCCAAAGAAGUUUGUACUAGAUGAAAAAUUAAGGGCAAAGAACCUAUUUUCAAUUUAAAAUCUUUUAUGAUGGAUAUUUUCAGUAGUUGGAGAUUGGCAUCUAGUGAUCAUACUCUUGUGAAAAUGAACUAAACUUGGUCAGCUUUUCAUCAAUUUAUAUUGCGUUAUAAGAACACGAACACAUCAUAAUCAACUAGCUGUUCAAAUGUACAUCUGAUGAAAUUUCUAGCAACGCCCCAUGGAAAUCGUGCUGACAAUGACAGUAACUUACAAUUUCCAACUGCUGAUCGAACCGAUGUUUUUUAUUUAUUUCAAUUGUCAAGCUUUUGUUAUCAGUUCUUAUCUACUGCAUAAUUUGUAUUACAAGUUCAUUAUGUGGUAUUUUUUCAAGUGGUUAUUUUUCAAGCUAAGCUGUAUUUAUCCAAGAAUGAUCAAAUAUUACAAGGUAGAUGUACUGUUUCCUGCUGUAUCAUUUCGUACACAAGUUGCCUCAUGGCAAUUAUCAGUUCAUUGUAAUCAGCUUGUGUGAGCGUGGUAUUGUCUCGCCUUAUAAGCUGUAUUAAGAUCUUCAUGGUGGUAUUGAAAUGAGCAAGGAUGUGGUGGUCUUGAGCUCUGCGCUGGUUAUUGCUGAAGCUUCUUCUGUGCUGAAAGGCUCCUGCUGUUCUUGCCCCCUGAAGCUUUUGUGCUGAAAGGUUCCUGUUGUUCCUGCUCCUGGCGUUCGGCAGUUCACAGAUGCAGUUUGAGCACAAUAUGUAUUUCCACUUCUGCAGCGGGCUCAUUGGCCUCCUGGCUGGUGAUAUGAUCGGUAGUCUAUUCCUCGAAUUAUUGCUGAAGAUCACUGCAGUUCUGCCAUGAAGGUCGUUGCUGAGGGUUACUACUGUUCUCCUGUUCUUGAUCAUUCUGCACUUAAAAUCCUGUUUGGGCGUAAGAAACAUUACGCUGCUGGAGCAUUGGCUGCUUGGCAGGCUUGAAGAUGGUUGCUAUGUGAACUACCAAUUUAGAAACUGAGACUCAAUAUUAAGUUAAUUUCAUCAUUCUUAUGAGGUGGUUGAGCUGUAAAAUUUGUUCGUACAAGUUGCCAGCUCUGUUGUCUGCAAAUAUUGGAGCUGUCGUCUGCAAAUUAUGGAUGCUGGAUCAGAUCGACGCUGUAUGAAGGUAUUUAACAUCAUUUUCACUGUUAUAUGA